UGUAUGCUGAUGGAGUAGACCCUGACAAGGUGUCUUUGACAUGGCUGCACUAUUGGGCUUAUGAUCUAAGGUAUCAAUACCCUCCAUUACAACUAUGGUUUAGGAUUCCUGGUAGUGAGGAAGGGAGUGGAUUUCUGCCAAUUACUGAUGACAAGGAUGCAAUGGACAUUUGCACCUUUGUCUCCCCAAGAACAAAGACAAUUGACAUGUACAUUGUUUGCUUAAGUGAGAGGAAAGUGUUUGGAGAGGAUGAGGUGAAUAAGUUUGAUGAAGAUAUUGACCACACAAGAUUCAUGAAUUGGUGGAUUGAUGACAUUAAAGAAUGGCCCAAUGUGACUUCAGAGGAAGAGGAUGCAUGCUCCUUUGUAGUUUGCGGCUUGAACACACUUGUAGUUCACUUGUUGGGAAUGUCUAUCAUAUGCAUGCUCCCUUCAUUGCAGAAGAAUAUCAAGAGUUUUUUAUGAAUGAUCCAAAUUGGACAAGGGAAGGCAUGCAUAAUGCAAUUAACAAAGACUUUGGCAUGUCAGUUGGAUAUCAAAUGUGUUAUAGAGCUAGGAUGAAAGCCAAGAAGCAAGCUCAAGGCAGCUAUGAGGACUAGUACAAUUUGUUGGAAUCAUAUGCACAUGAGCUCAGGAAGAGGAAUCCUAGAACAUCAGUAUGGAUACAAACUAAACUUGAUGGGGAAAGAGUCAGAUUCAAGAGGAUUUACAUUUGUAUUGCUGCUUUGAAAAAGGGGUGGAGAGAGGGAUGUAGGCCAUAGAUUGGGUUGGAUGGCUGCCACUUGAACACUGUGCAAAAAGAUAAGCUCAUCUCUGCAAUUGGAAUAGAUAGAAAUAAUGAAAUAUAUCCAAUAUCAUCGGUUAUUAUGAAGACAAAAAGCAAGGAGAACUGGACAUGGUUUUUAGAGUUCUUGAAGACAGAUCUUGACAUCCAUCACUCAGGACAUUAUACUUUUAUGAGAGACAAGCAAAAAGGCCUUGAGCAGGCCAUUAAAGAGUUGUUUCCAGAUGCUUCACAUAGGCAUUGUGUAAGGCAUCUGCACAACAACUUCAAAACUGAUGGACACACAGUUGUAUGUUUGGAGUUGAAACAUAAACUAUGGGCAAUGGCCAGAAGCUAUACCAUGAAUACUUUUAUGGAGGCAAUGGAAGAUUUGAAGAACAGCUCACUUAGUGGAUGGCAAUGGUGCUUGGACAGACCUGCCAUACAUUGGUCAAAGUCACACUUUGACCAUAAAUUCAAGUGUGAUUUUCUUUUGAAUGACCACAGUGAGAGCUUUAACAAUAGUGUGUUGUCAGCAAGGAAGAAGCCUAUAUACUUGCAUGAUUGGAAGAAAUUAGAUUAGCAACCAUGGUCAGAUUAGCAAACAGAAGGAAUUCUGGCCCUAAUUGGAAGUGAAAAGUUAGACCAAGAGUGGAGAAGCAGCUGAAAAAGAAUGCAGAGUAUAGCCAUGACUAUAGACCUGUUCGUUCAAGUCUUUGGAGGCAUGAGGUUCAAGGAAGAGGGGUGGGGUGUCAAAGUGGGGUGGUUGCACAACACUCAGUUGCAUUGGAUCUUAGAAGUUGCACUUGUCAAAGAUGGGAUGUAUCUGGCCUGCCAUGUGGGCAUGCAAUAGCUGCAAUCUAUUCAAAAGGCAUGAACUUGAUGAUUUUGUGGAUGCAUACUAUAGUAAGGACAUGUAUAUGAAGGCAUAUGAGCCUAUUAUGCAUCCAAUAACUUGAGUGAAGGAGUGGGAGAAGAUUUACAGGCCAAUUGCACCACCUCUGUAUAGGAGGCAGCCAUGGAGGCCUAAAACAGCUAGGACAAAGGAACCAGGUGAAGUAGUCUUACCUCCUGGAUUAACAAAACUGCCUAAGG